GAUGAACGCUGGCGGCGUGCCUAAUACAUGCAAGUCGAACGCGCAGCGAGAGGUGCUUGCACCUUUCAAGCGAGUGGCGAACGGGUGAGUAACACGUGGAUAACCUGCCUCAAGGCUGGGGAUAACAUUUGGAAACAGAUGCUAAUACCGAAUAAAACUUAGUAUCGCAUGAUAUCAAGUUAAAAGGCGCUACGGCGUCACCUAGAGAUGGGUCUGCGGUGCAUUAGUUAGUUGGGGGGGUAAAGGCUAACCAAGACGAUGAUGCAUAGCCGAGUUGAGAGACUGAUCGGCCACAUUGGGACUGAGCCACGGCCCAAACUCCUACGGGAGGCUGCAGUAGGGAAUCUUCCACAAUGGGCGCAAGCCUGAUGGAGCAACGCCGCGUGUGUGAUGAAGGCUUUCGGGUCGUAAAGCACUGUUGUAUGGGAAGAAAUGCUAAAAUAGGGAAUGAUUUUAGUUUGACGGUACCAUACCAGAAAGGGACGGCUAAAUACGUGCCAGCAGCCGCGGUAA
rnacentral:rRNA from 1 species